AACGAACGCUGGCGGCAGGCCUAACACAUGCAAGUCGAGCGAGGACUUCGGUCCUAGCGGCGGACGGGUGAGUAACGCGUGGGAACGUGCCCUUUGCUUCGGAAUAGCCCUGGGAAACUGGGAGUAAUACCGGAUGAGCCCUUUGGGGGAAAGAUUUAUCGGCGAAGGAUCGGCCCGCGUUGGAUUAGGUAGUUGGUGGUGUAAUGGCCUACCAAGCCGACGAUCCAUAGCUGGUUUGAGAGGAUGAUCAGCCACACUGGAACUGAGACACGGCCCAGACUCCGACGGGAGGGAGCAGUGGGGAAUAUUAGAGAAUGGGGGAAACCCUGAUAAAGCCAUGCCGCGUGAGAGAGGAAGGCCUUAGGGUUGUAAAGCUCUUUCAGCUGGGAAGAUAAUGACGGUACCAGCAGAAGAAGCCCCGGCUAACUCCGUG
rnacentral:rRNA from 1 species